ensembl:lncRNA
GGAGGCCAACUAGUAAAAACACCGAGAACUCUCGAGAACAGCCGACUAUGAAGAUCCCAGGAUGAGACCGUUUCCCCGCCCCCGAGUGCAGACGUUGCAACCAACUUUCAGCGUUGACGCGAUCUCCAAUAGGAACGGCCCUUCACUCUCAGAAACGCUGGCCAGAGAAACCGUGGAGGACUUUUCACCUUGCCGUUUGCCUCCCAGGUUCAACAUGAUAGGAUUUGGAUUAUUAGGGCCUGGGAACAGCGUAAAGGAACGCGCGGGUCACCACCUUAAGCGCGUAUGCGGGGCCUCGCUUUAGGAAAUAAAUGAAUUCUACCAAAAGUCCUAUAGUUUUAAAGCUGGAAUUGAACUGUCUUCCCAAACCCUCCACGCCUACUGCGCCUCUCCCUUCAGUAAAUGCACAUAUACAUGUGAGAAGUAGAAGAACAAUGCAAUUAAGUCUCCAGCCAAAUCUGGGGAGAAAACAGACAGAGUCUCACUCUGUCACCCAGGCUGGAGUGUCGUGUCGUGUCAUACAAUCUCAGCUAACUGCAACCUCUGCCUCCUGAGUUCAAGCAGCAAUUCUCCUGCCUCAGCCUCCUGAGUAGCUGGGAUUACAGGCGUGCGCCACCUUGCCCAGCUAAUUUUUGUAUUUUUAGUAGAGACAAUGUUUCACCGUGUUGGUCAGGCUGGUCUCAAACUCCUGACCUUGUGAUCGGCCUGCCUUGGCCUCCCAAAGUGCUGGGAUUACAGGCGUGAGCCACCACACCCAGCCUAUUCUAUUUUGUGUGUGUUUAAAUAUGUUCACGAAGAAAAAUAAUUUAAAUGCUGGUUAUAUUUUGAUUUCACUUCUCACUAAUACAGCAUGACUUGGAGUUUGAAAAACAUCGCAUUCAAAUAGCCAAUACAAAUGCAAAGUAGACAAAAGCACCAGCUAAACAAAUGUACCAGACUGUACCCUGAGAACUGGAGACCUGUUCAUGGGAACAUGAUUAAUUGACUUCUCCAACAAAUAGUAGCUCAAACAUCAAAACUUGCAGUUGUUGCUAAACCAUUUUACAUAAAAUAUUAAAUCUCCAAGGUUGUAGCUCUUACAAUCUAAGAAAAAGAUUUGCAUUUAAGACCAAAGUUUAAAAAGAAAGAAACAUUUAACUUUGAAAUUCUGAGCCCAAAGUAUAGUACUCAGCACCCUAAAUCGGAAGCUUACAAGGCAGGUGGCAUUACCCUUGUUUCUCUUAGAUCAAUUUCUUUCUUGCCUCCUAAUAAUUUUUUAUGACUCACAAAGAAUCAGAAAAUAAAACUGAUUCUUCAUAACUGUUUGUCAGCCUUUUUGGAAUCUAUUCCGAUUUUGACACAAGUACAUUCAGAAUAGUGUGAGCAAAGAACCAAGCGAUUGCCUUAAGUUUAAAAGCCUGUUUUGCUCAAAAGACUUAACGUAUUUUAAGCAGCAGAUUUAAUGUUUAGCUGUGAUUAUGUUUUCUCUUAAGGCAACUUGUCUGAUGAAUCGAGGGCUUCUCCCAUCUGUGACUACAUUUUUCAUAUCCAAAUGUAUUCAUGUAUGUAAUUCCCAAUUAUUCAAAAAUUAUCCUGCUCAGACCUUUGCACACAGCUUCAAGAUUCUCACUACAAGUGGAGGUCCAAUUUGCCAUUGUUACACCCCUCAGCAACACUUCUGUCAAACAGUGAUUCUUUCAGAAGCUUACAAACCAGCAAGACAGAUGCAGGGUCAUUUACUGUAAGAAAGUAACUAACGCUGGCAACAAGGAGUUGUUGCUGAUAUUUUCCCAGUGUUACCAUGUGUGAAGGCUGAAAAGUUUAUGUGUUUCCCACAGGGCAGAUAGUGUCUGGAUAAAUCAAUAUAGAAUAGUACUCAAACAUAAUUGGCAUUUCAAUGUACUAUACAACUGAGUCCCUUUAAGACAUAAAAUGGAUAUAAUUCUUACAUUACUGAAAAUAAACUUUAGGACAUGUUUGU